rnacentral:rRNA from 1 species
GUUGUAUGGUUAAGUGACUAAGCGUACACGGUGGAUGCCUGGGCAGUCAGAGGCGAUGAAGGACGUACUAACUUGCGAUAAGCGCAGAUAAGGCAGUAAGAGCCGUUUGAGUCUGCGAUUUCCGAAUGGGGAAACCCAACUGCAUAAGCAGUUACUGUUAACUGAAUACAUAGGUUAACAGAGCAAACCGGGGGAACUGAAACAUCUAAGUACCCCGAGGAGAAGAAAUCAACCGAGAUUCCGGUAGUAGCGGCGAGCGAACCUGGAUUAGCCCUUAAGCACUCGGUGAAGUAGGUGAACAAGCUGGAAAGCUUGGCGAUACAGGGUGAUAGCCCCGUAACCGACGCUUCAUCGAGCGUGAAAUCGAGUAGGGCGGGACACGUGAUAUCCUGUCUGAAUAUGGGGGGACCAUCCUCCAAGGCUAAAUACUCCUGACUGACCGAUAGUGAACCAGUACCGUGAGGGAAAGGCGAAAAGAACCCCUGUGAGGGGAGUGAAAUAGAACCUGAAACCGUGUACGUACAAGCAGUAGGAGCACCUUCGUGGUGUGACUGCGUACCUUUUGUAUAAUGGGUCAGCGACUUAUAUUCAGUGGCAAGGUUAACCGUAUAGGGGAGCCGUAGCGAAAGCGAGUCUUAACUGGGCGCUCAGUCUCUGGAUAUAGACCCGAAACCGGGUGAUCUAGCCAUGGGCAGGUUGAAGGUUGAGUAACAUCAACUGGAGGACCGAACCGACUAAUGUUGAAAAAUUAGCGGAUGACUUGUGGCUAGGGGUGAAAGGCCAAUCAAACUCGGAGAUAGCUGGUUCUCCCCGAAAGCUAUUUAGGUAGCGCCUCGGACGAAUACUACUGGGGGUAGAGCACUGUUAAGGCUAGGGGGUCAUCCCGACUUACCAACCCUUUGCAAACUCCGAAUACCAGUAAGUACUAUCCGGGAGACACACGGCGGGUGCUAACGUCCGUCGUGGAGAGGGAAACAACCCAGACCGCCAGCUAAGGUCCCAAAGUAUUGCUAAGUGGGAAACGAUGUGGGAAGGCUCAGACAGCUAGGAUGUUGGCUUAGAAGCAGCCAUCAUUUAAAGAAAGCGUAAUAGCUCACUAGUCGAGUCGGCCUGCGCGGAAGAUGUAACGGGGCUAAGCAAUACACCGAAGCUGCGGCAAUAUCUUUUAGAUAUUGGGUAGGGGAGCGUUCUGUAAGCCGUUGAAGGUGAAUCGUAAGGUUUGCUGGAGGUAUCAGAAGUGCGAA